UAUGCGAAAUGCGUGCGCGCGCGCCGCCUGACGCCAGCGCAGCACUCCCGCCGCGCCGGCGCGGUGCGCUUCGUCACGAGUCGCGAACCGACACUUCGCGACGAUCUGUUCUCAGGGAUCUCGCUUAUAAGACCCCAGUUCGGUUUGCUUAUACGUACGUCCGUACGCAUUCUAGUGCUUUUCUGCAAUUCGGUGCAAUGUCAUCAAUUUAAGCUUCGAAAGUCGUGUACUUGGUUGAGUCCUUUUCAUUAAUUACCAAUUAUGGACAAAAUUGACGGAAAAUUGGAAGAACGAUCCAUAAAAACACCCAAGUUACCUUAAAGAAAUGUCAAAGGGAGGCCGUAAAAUAGAAAAUUAAAAAUGUUUUACCGACGCUAUAAAUUAUAAAAGCAAUGUCUCGAUCUUAAUGAGAUUGUCAUAAAGGCGAAAAUCGUCACGGCUGUAUAUUUUUUAACCUUGUACAAAUUAUCAAUGCAUAAUGGUAGGACUGGCAGAAUAAACAUGGUAUACUUUACAUGCAUCGAAGCAACUCCCGUAAUGUACUCGCGAUAGGAAUAUAAAUGAAGAUUCUUAUUUUGUUCUCCAACUUAAAGUGAAGAGUCGCCCUCGUGCAGUAACUAGAUUAUAUUCUUUGUUGUAAUACCACACUUUAGGACAUCCUA